UGUCUACUGUGGACGCAGCCUUAAGCCCUAUGUGUUGAUGAUACAACCAUUAUUAUUUUAUAAUUAUUAAUAGCUAUAUUGAUCAUUCAUAUUUCAAUCGGCAUCCUUAGAGGUUGUGUCUCAGAACUCUUUAGAUUCAUAUUUUUAUUGAAGUAAAGUGGUAAUUAAUAUCUAUAUUAAUUAUGAAGUUGUGGUUUAUAAUAACGUUUUUGUUACUCGCGAUGACGCUUGUAGCAGCCCGCCCUAAAUUCAAUCGUAAUGUUCUUUCGGGGCUCAAGAAUGCAGUACUAACAAGUUCGCGUAUGAUGCAGCUGUAUAGCAGAAAUAAACCAAAAAGGGUUAAAAUCAUGAACUGUUUUUUUUUUGUCAAAUGUAUUUUUAACUUAGGUACUUCCUAAAAGGAGGAUAUCAUAGGAGGAGGUAUUAUAUUGUAAUUGCUAAAGUCAAUAAAUAAAAUGAAAAAUAAAUAAAUGCCUAUAAUUA